GAUGAAGAACGCAGUGAAAUGCGAUAAGUAAUGUGAAUUGCAGAAUUUAGUGAAUCAUCGAAUCUUUGAACGCACAUUGCGCCCGCUAGUAUUCUGGCGGGCAUGCCUGUUCGAGCGUCAUUUCAACCCUCAAGCCCUCGGGUUUGGUGUUGGGGAUCGGCGAGCCUUUCUGGCAAGCCGGCCCCGAAAUCUAGUGGCGGUCUCGCUGCAGCCUCCAUUGCGUAGUAGUAAAACCCUCGCAACUGGAACGCGGCGCGGCCAAGCCGUUAAACCCCCAACUUCUGAAUGUUGACCUCGGAUCAGGUAGGAAUACCCGCUGAACUUAAGCAUAUCAAUAAGCGGAGGA
rnacentral:misc_RNA from 1 species